rnacentral:rRNA from 1 species
CCUACGGGAGGCUGCAGUGGGGAAUAUUGCACAAUGGGGGAAACCCUGAUGCAGCGACGCCGCGUGAGUGAAGACGGAUUUCUGUAUGUAAAGCUCUAUCUGCAGGGAAGAAAAUGACGGUACCUGAUUAAGAAGCCCCGGCUAACUUCGUGCCAGCAGCCGCGGUAAUACGUAGGGGGCAAGCGUUAUCCGGAUUUACUGGGUGUAAAGGGAGCUUAGACGGCAGCACAAGUCUGUAGUGAAAGGCCGGGGCUUAACCCCGGAACUUCAGUGGAAACUGUGCAGCUAGAGUGCAGGAGAGGUAAGUGGAAUUCGUAGUGUAGCGGUGAAAUGCGUAGAUAUUAGGAGGAACGCCAGUGGCGAAGGCGGCUUACUGGACUGUAACUGACGUUGAGGCUCGAAAGCGUGGGUAGCAAACAGGAUUAGAUACCCUGGUAGUC